GGUCAAGCAAUGAAGCGCACUUGGUGGAUGCCUUGGCAACUAGAGGCGAUGAAGGACGUCGUAGCCUGCGAAAAGCUUCGGGGAGUCGGCUAGCAGACUUUGAUCCGGAGAUGUCCGAAUGGGGAAACCCACCCGACUUGUCGGGUAUCCUCACCUGAAUACAUAGGGUGUGGAAGCAAACCCGGGGAACUGAAAUAUCUAAGUACCCGGAGGAAAAGAAAUCAAUCGAGAUUUCCUUAGUAGCGACGAGCGAACGGGAAUCAGCCCUUAAGCAGGUUGGAACAUAUUAAUGUUGAAGUUAGCAGAAGUGUCUGGAAAGGCACACCAUAGCGGGUGAUAGUCCCGUAUGCGAAAACUGCCAAUCAGUGAAAUCGAGUAGGGCGGGACACGUGAAAUCCUGUCUGAACAGCAUCGCGCUUCGGCGCGGUGCGAGGGGGGACCAUCCUCCAAGGCUAAAUACUCCUAGUUGACCGAUAGCGAACCAGUACCGUGAGGGAAAGGCGAAAAGAACCCCGGAAGGGGAGUGAAAUAGAACCUGAAACCGGGUGCGUACAAGCAGUGGGAGCCCUUGAUGUCCCGUUUGUUUCUUCGGAAACACCUUUGGGACGAAUAAGGGUGACUGCGUACCUUUUGUAUAAUGGGUCAGCGAGUUGCUGUUAGUGGCAAGGUUAACCGUGUAGGGGAGCCGUAGGGAAACCGAGUCUUAAUAGGGCGAAUGAGUCGCUAGGAGCAGACCCGAAACCGGGCGAGCUAGCCAUGGCCAGGGUGAAGGUUCGGUAACACGAACUGGAGGCCCGAACCCACCUAUGUUGAAAAAUGGGGGGAUGAGCUGUGGCUCGGAGUGAAAGGCUAAUCAAGCCCGGAGAUAGCUGGUUCUCCUCGAAAACUAUUUAGGUAGUGCCUC
rnacentral:rRNA from 1 species